rnacentral:hammerhead_ribozyme from 1 species
CUCCAGCUGACUAGUCCCAAAUACGACGAAAUGCUCGUCCUGGAU